UGCCACGCCUGCGCUGCGCACUCCGAGAUUUUAAAAAUCCUUGGGAUGUGGCAAUUCCGCGAUGUUUGAAGCCAGUAGCUCUGAGGGGAAAGGGCAUCGCUGGGAGCCGUUCUCACCUAACAGGUGGGGAGAGAUGGGCAAUAUCCCAGUGUUGGUAUUCUAGAAUUAAUCUUUAGCCUUAUUGGCCUUUUUUCCUGUCCGGUCGUGGAGAGGGGGCGGCGGAGACUUCAAACUCUUGGAUAAAGCAGAGACAGAAGUAAUCAACUUCCCAUCAUUAUGGGGAAGUGGGGAAAGGGAAAGAUGGAACGAGAAAAAGGGUAAUAUUUAUUACAUGGUGCAGUGCAGGUUAUGCUGGAUUUAAAGCCAAAGGACAUGAGUUCAAGUUCUAACUGCCAUUUUUCCUGUAUAUCAAUGGGUAAUCAUAAUAUCAUAAUGAUACCUAUGAAUUGUUCUGAGAUAUCUCAUAUGUUUGCCGUAGCGGAAUAAAUUGGAUUUUGAAGUUUUUCCAAGGAAACAUAAUUAAUACUGUCACUUUCAACUGAAUCCACAGUUGAUUACAAAAGUUAAAGGCAUAAGGAGUUUGAA